AAAUUUUCCAUUUUGAGAUGUUCACAUACAGAGUUCUUCUGACCUUUGACCUCCUCAGGACAUGAAUUUGUUUGUAUUGAAGGUGAUAUUUUAAGAAGGUAUUUGAAAAUCUUAUCAUUUUAGAUAUUAAAUAUGUUAAAAUCUUGUUUUUUUGCAGCAAUUUUAACUUUUUUGUAAAAUCAAAGCUAAAUUUUAACUUUGCAGCUUUUUAAAAAAAAUUGCCACAAAAUCAGUAAUUUUAGGUCUGAACAAUCGGAGGAAAGCAUCUCUGACCGGUUUGAUACUUCAGAAGAUGAAUGGAUCCAGUUUCUGUUUCAGACGAGUUCAGGGAAAGUUUAGAGCUGCUUCAAUCCAAAUCAUAAAUAAAACGGAUCUGAUAUCAUCAGUGAUCAGAUGUUCGACUCUUUCAGCAGUUCUGCUGGCUGACCUCAGCAGCUAUUUCAGGCCUUUAACUAGGCCAGUGAGACGCUUCCUGCGCUCACUUUCUCAGCUGCAGCUGCUCUGCAGAAUGAGGCAGAGCUGCAUGUGUCUGAGAGGAGGAGGCAUCCUGCGGGCUGCAGAUGAAAACCUUCAUGCUCAUAAAUCGUAUCGUCUGCUU